GGAAACAAUAUAAUGUACAGCCCUGUCACCAUGGCUAUUAAUAACUUGGAUGGCAUCCAGACCCACACGGGCACAGGGGGAUAUUCUGUCCUUUGUCAUCGCGGCAGCAACGAGAUGUUUUCUUUCCGAGGCCUGGCAUCUAUGUCCCCUGCCUGCCACGUGGGAAGCUUCUAAUUUUCCAGGCACACGUUUCAGGAGGCCCAGGGCAUUAACAGUGGGACAGGCUGGAAGGGCACAGGUGACUCCACACUCCUGGGGGCUCCAUUCCUUCACCUCUUCCCCCGAUGCCUUGUGUUCCUGCCUCUAUAAAAGGCGUGACCGCAGGGCAACCAUCACAUACACCGACAUCCACAAGCCAAAGAGAAGUCACCUGUCGAGAGAAAAGAGAGAAUCUGUGAUGCAAUGGCACGGCUACAGCACCUUGGAGGUGCUGGAGGAAGCAGCAGAAAGAUGGGGUGAGUGGGUCUCUUCUCGAAAAGUGUCCACCUCUGGGCUAAGGGGAAACGUGCAGAACCUUUGAGAGACGGAAGCAGGACAGAGAGAUGACGUGACACCAGCGGACGGCAGCCCCGGGGGCACCUGGGGGCCGAGGUGUAGACGGGAAGGCAAGAGGGUCAAACUCAGCGUCUUCUCGCGCCUUGGAGAAGAGUCGGUGGGAAAGCUGACUCUGAGGGAAGGUGCUGCUCCUGUUUAGGAAGCAGAGUCCACAGCGUGGUUUCUGGCUGCAGCUUCGCCGCCCCCCUUCCUCUCCCUCCUCCCUUCUCCUGCUUCCCUCCACCUUUUCUCUCCUUCUCCUGGUUCUGAACAAAACAGGAGUCAUCCUCAGGGGGGGUCAGGUCAGGCCAGGGGGUUGUCAUCCACUGUGUUUAAUGUUAAUUCACAAUGACCUUUCAAGGUCAAGAAUUGGAAGGGACUUUGAAUUAAAGUGAAUUGUCUCCCCUACUCUUUCUUUUUUUUUAACCUAAUAGAGAUGCCAGAUCAUACAUGACUCUGCUUACUCUCUUAUGCUUUUUUUUUUUUUUUUUUUUUUUUUUACAGUAAACCCUGUGUUCCCCUGCUAGAAAGUGAGCCCCGAGAGGGCAGGAUCAACUUCUCCUUAGCUUCUGCUCGACCUCUUACAUUCUCC
rnacentral:lncRNA from 9 species